rnacentral:rRNA from 1 species
UACGGAGGGGGCUAGCGUUGUUCGGAAUUACUGGGCGUAAAGCGCACGUAGGCGGCUUGGUAAGUUAGAGGUGAAAGCCCGGGGCUCAACCCCGGAAUUGCCUUUAAGACUGCCGAGCUAGUAGGUGAGAGAGGUGAGUGGAAUUCCGAGUGUAGAGGUGAAAUUCGUAGAUAUUCGGAAGAACACCAGUGGCGAAGGCGGCUCACUGGCUCAUUCUAGACGCUGAGGUGCGAAAGCGUGGGGAG